AACGAACGCUGGCGGCAUGCCUAACACAUGCAAGUCGAACGAGACCUUCGGGUCUAGUGGCGCACGGGUGCGUAACGCGUGGGAACCUGCCCUUAGGUUCGGAAUAACUCCCCGAAAGGGGUGCUAAUACCGGAUAAUGUCUUCGGACCAAAGAUUUAUCGCCUUUGGAUGGGCCCGCGUUGGAUUAGCUAGUUGGUAGGGUAAAAGCCUACCAAGGCGACGAUCCAUAGCUGGUCUGAGAGGAUGAUCAGCCGCACUGGGACUGAGACACGGCCCAGACUCCUACGGGAGGCAGCAGUGGGGAAUAUUGGACAAGGGGCGAAAGCCUGAUCCAGCAAUGCCGCGUGAGUGAUGAAGGCCUUAGGGUUGUAAAGCUCUUUUACCCGGGAUGAUAAUGACAGUACCGGGAGAAUAAGCUCCGGCUAACUCCGUG
rnacentral:rRNA from 1 species